CAAACCUCAAGCGUCUGCUUGCUGUUGGAGCAUUGCGCCAUCCCUUUAGGGAUCGCAAGCCCUGAAUUAUAGUGGCGGAGCUGCUGUAGACUCUGAGCGUAGUACUACUAUUCGCUUCUGGAAUCUCGGUGGUUGCCUGCCGUAAAACCCACUAUAUUUUCUCUU
rnacentral:misc_RNA from 1 species